rnacentral:rRNA from 1 species
CGAAGAUACGCGCAGAACUUUACCAACACUUGACAUGUUCGUCGCGACUCUAAGAGAUUAGAGUUUUCGGUUCGGCCGGACGAAACACAGGUGCUGCAUGGCUGUCGUCAGCUCGUGUCGUGAGAUGUUGGGUUAAGUCCCGCAACGAGCGCAACCCUCACUUUUAGUUGCCAUCAUUAAGUUGGGCACUUUGAAAGAACUGCCAGUGAUAAGCUGGAGGAAGGUGGGGAUGACGUCAAGUCCUCAUGGCCCUUACGUGUUGGGCUACACACGUGCUACAAUGGCAUCAACAACAGGAAGCAAAAUGGCAACCCAAAGCAAAUCCCGAAAAGAUGCGUCACUUGGCAGUGCACUCUGCAACUCGAGUGCAUGAACCCGGACUUAUUAGUAAUCGUGGCUCAUCCUGCCACGGUGAAUGCGUUCCCGGGUCCUGCACUC